CAAUAGCGUAUAUUAACGUUGUUGCAGUUAAAAAGCUCGUAGUUGGAUUUCUGGAGGGAGCGUCGGCCCGUAUUUACGAGUGCGUGACGUCUCUGUCCAUCCUUGCGGGUAGGCACGGCAUUGAUUUGUUGUGUCGGAUCGCAUCAUUUACUGUGAAAAAAUUAGAGUGUUCAAAGCAGGCUUUCGCUUGAAUACAUUAGCAUGGAAUAAUAAGAUAGGACUUUGGUGCUAUUUUGUUGGUUGAGCCUAAAGUAAUGAUUAAUAGGGAUAGUUGGGGGCACCUGUAUUGCGUUGUCAGAGGUGAAAUUCUUGGAUUUACGCAAGACAAACAGCUGCGAAAGCGUCUGCCAAGGAUGUUUUCAUUAA
rnacentral:rRNA from 1 species